UUGGAUUUCUGGCGGGAGCGGGUGGUCCGGCACUUUGUGUUGGUACUUUCCUGUCUCUUGCCAUCCUUGGGUCUAAGCUGUCUGGCAUUUAGUUGUCGGGCAGUGGCUGCCCAUCGUUUACUGUGAAAAAAUUAGAGUGUUCAAAGCAGGCUUAUGCCGUUGAAUAUAUUAGCAUGGAAUAAUAAGAUAGGACCUUGGUACUAUUUUGUUGGUUUGCGCACCGAGGUAAUGAUUAAGAGGGACAGUUGGGGGUAUUCGUAUUCAAUUGUCAGAGGUGAAAUUCUUGGAUUUCUGGAAGACGAACUACUGCGAAAGCAUUUACCAAGGAUGUUUUCAUUAAUCAAGAACGAAAGUUAGGGGAUCGAAGAUGAUUAGAUACCAUCGUAGUCUUAACCAUAAACUAUGCCGACUAGGGAUUUGUGGGUGUUAUUUUUGACCCCAUGAGCACCUUAUGAGAAAUCAAAGUCUUUGGGUUCCGGGGGGAGUA
rnacentral:rRNA from 1 species